ensembl:lncRNA DRAIC downregulated RNA in cancer, inhibitor of cell invasion and migration
UAGUUGAGAUGGGGUUUCUCCAGGUUGGUCAGGCUGGUCUCAAACUCCCGACCUCAGGUGAUCAGCCCGCCUCGGCCUCCCAAAGUGCUGGGAUUACAGGCGUGAGCCACUGCGUGCCCGGCAGCAGAUGAACUUUCAAUCGGAGCAAUGGAAUUCUGUGGGGCAGGGGAUUGCACACUGCACACAUCACAGCUGCUCAUCCAGGGUUCAGGGAGCACAGGUGUUGUGGCACUUGCUUCAUCUUGAGUGGCACGGAGCACAGAGCAGCCCCUGUGGAGUGUGGAAACACCAAACCCUGAGUCACCACUGACUGUUGCCCUGGGCAUAGAACCCCAGGUGAAGGCACUUAACACUGGUUAUCCCUGUGCAUCCAGGAAGCUGAAUGGCGGCCAAAGAAAAAAGUUACAAUGCAGUCAGGCUGGACCAGAGAAUUCCUGCAUGUGCAAGUUUGUG